rnacentral:rRNA from 1 species
UAGUGUGAAUUGCAGAAUUCCGUGAAUCAUCGAGUUUUUGAACGCAUGUNGCGCCCGAGGCUUGUCCCGAGGGCAUGUCUGCCUGAGCGUCAUCAAAACCUCACCGUGCGAAGUUCUCCUUCGGGGGAGAGCCUUUCGUUUCGAGUGGAAUUGGCCGUCCGGGACUCGGCGUCGAGCAUGAGUCGUGGUCGGCUGAAAUGGAGCGAGUUUCGAGCCUGGCCGGACAGUGAGGUCGCGAGAAGGUGAUUCGUCCCCUCCGGGGGGUGGAAGUCCAUUGGACAGCGACCUUCGUUCUGGCCUUGCACGAGANNNNCAGCAGGCUCACUUUGGUGAGUGAUACCAUUUGGACCUNAGAUCAGGCAAGAU